rnacentral:lncRNA from 1 species
CAUCUGUGACCUACACCACAGCUCAUGGAAACUUCCCGAUCAUUAACCCACUGAGGGAGGCCAGGGAUCGAACCCACAUCCUCAUGGAUACUAGUUGGGUUCGUUAACUGCUGAGCCACAAUGGGAACUCCCUAGAAUGGAAGCUUUGAUUACAAGACUUGCGUGGAUAAAGGGUUCAAAGGACAAUUCGAGAGAGCCCAUUUCCACAGAGAAGGGGAAAGAUUCCAGGGAAGGAGCUGCCUCUGGGCCGAAUUGCACUGCCACUAAUGGGAGUGCAAUUUUAAAUCCAAGCCUAGGAGUUCCCAUCGUGGCUCAGUGGAAGCAAACCCAACGAGUAUCCAUGAGGAUGUGGGUUCGAUCCCUGGCCUCACUCAGUGGGUUAAGCCAGGGCAAUGCCAGAUCCUAAACCCACUGAGCAAGGCCAGGAAUGGAACCUGCAUCCUCACAGAAACAACGUCAGGUCCUUAACCCCCUGAGUCAAGCAUGUUCAAUGCACAGCUACAGUUAUUCUAAGCAUCACCUGCCCUAAACCCUUUCUGUUGCCUUUAAGAAAAACAAAAACGGAGCCAUUUGAAACUGACUACCCACCUCAUCUCACAGUUAGAAAUCUCCUCGCUUGUAGGUGUAACACUGAUUCCAGAGCUUCUGUCAUCAAAUCAGAAAUAAAAACAGAAUAUGCAAAAAAGACAAGAAGCAGGGAGUUCCCUGCUGGUCUAGUGGUUAGGACUGCAGCCUGGGUUCAAUGCCUGGCCUGGGAACUGAGAUCCCACAUCUAGUGGCUGCAUGCUGUGGCCAAAAAAAAAAAAAAAAAAAAAAAAAAGGCAGCAGCAGUUAUAAGACAAGGGAACUGUUCCAAAGACACUUCCCAAGAAGAGACUGUGGGUUUUAAGGGCAUCUGGAAUUUGUUCUAAUUGGUUAUGGUAAGACAGACAUGGCAAUGCUUCUGGGGAAGGAAGAAUUUUUAUACUCACGGAUACCAAGAAAUAGGAGGCACGCGGGGCCACACGGGGAAGCACCAGGGUCAGGGAGGAAGCAGAGAGGGAGGAGGAGAGAUGGAUAAGAGACUUUACUGAGGUCUCUGGGCAGGGUGAGCAGGCUUGGCACUGGCUGGCUGGAACCAUUUCAGCAGGCUGUAGGGCACGGGGGGUGCCCCUGGUUGUCUGGCCCCUGGCCCUGGAGAGAUCCGGGCAGGGAAGGGCGAGAAUGUGAGAGCCGAAGGAAGAAGGGGUUGGGGAUGUGCACGGGAAAGGCUAAGAGCAAGCUGUUUCCCAGCCCCGGGAAUUAGCCGGACCUGGGAAGGGCAGUCCCUCCAGGGUCCGCAGAGGCCCCGAUGUCAGAGCAUCAACAGAGAAGAAAAAGGCCAUUAACACGACGGAAAACUACAUUCACGGGGCAACUGCUGAAACGGAGCAAAGGAAGGUGCAUCCUGAAAAACAGGUAUUGGGUUUCUAGCUGAGCCGCCUCCACGAGCCUUCCUGGGAAGCCCUCUGGGCAGGGGCGACAGGGCAAAAGGCAGAAAGCAGCCAAGCUGUCAGUCAAGACCCAGGGUCAGAGAGUGCAGCGUGCUCUGCGCGUGUGAGACCCAGAAGAGGAAGCCAGCCAGCCGCCUCGGACCCCGGAGGACCGGAGGAGAGGAGAAAAGGGAUUGCAUCGUGUUAGGUUUGUUUUGGUUUGCAUGGACGAGAGAGAGAAAUACCCGCUUGGAGGCAGGAGAGAGGAAACCAGGAGAGAGGCAGCAAGAAGAGGUUGGCCUGCACUCCCGAGGGACUUGAUAAGCCCGACAGCUAAAAGGGUGCAGGCCGAGGUCAAGGCUGGCACUGAGGGUGCGCCCGUCGACGUGGCCGUCAACCAUGCCAGAGGGGACUGGGAUCAGCAGAGCAAUGAGUGACACUGCAGAGCACGGCAGGCAUCCUCAAGGACUUUUUUCCUUCUUUUUUUGGUCUUUUUAGGGCCACACUGGCAGCAUAUGGAGGUUCCCAGGCUAGGGGUCUAAUAGGAGCUGCAGCCGCCGGCCUUCACACCACAGCCACAGCCACGUGGGAUCUGAGCUACGUCUGCGACCUACACCACAGCUCACAGCAACACCGGAUCCUUCACCCACGGAGCGAGGCCAGGGACCGAACACGCAACCUCCUGGUUCUAGUGGGAUUCGUUUCUGCUGGGCCGCCACGGGAACUCCUGAAGGACUUUUACGAGGGACUUGUCCUUCUCGUCAGCGUCUGACUCCCUACAGCCUGGGUCCCAAAGCCCACACUCCCUACGUGUGUGGUUUAAUUAGGGUCCUCGUCUCCAGAGCGCCGGCUCUCACAGGGGGACAGCCUAGACGGCCGGGCCUAACCUUCGUCCUCACAGCCAGCGUGGGAUUGAUAAGUACACCUGCCUCCGCACCAGGGUAUUUCACGCUACUACACCCCGCUGCAAACACAAUCUCCUCUCCGCAGACACCGUAACUUCUCAGCGAUGGGUAAAAAGCAAGCGUCACCUGUGCGUUCCAUCCAGCAUCCAUCCCCUGGAGACCUCUGUCUCCGUUUCAUCAGCUCCUCACACCGAGCCCAAGCACAGAGACAGCAAGACACUUCCUUGGGAAGAGGCUUUUACUAGGCACCGAACAUUCUCCAAUGUUGUCUCGCAGGAAGCGCUGCGAGGGCGGUCGCUCGCCGCACGAUCUCCACGUUACGGAGAAUUCUGUGACGCAGAGAGAGAUGUGCUUUGUAGGAAGAGCUGGCACCCAGUAGAGGGUGAAGGUGAAUCCGGGACUUGGGUGCUACUGGACGGGAUUGAGCUAGGAAAGCGGGCCGAGGGCAUCCUUCCCGAGCCAAGACUGCACAUGGGAGCGACGGCACAGGGGCUCGGGCGCUUCCCAAGGCGGAGCUCUCUGCCACCCCGGGGGCCGGCUCCCCCAGAGUGGAAGUGGGGAGGGGUCUACUGGCUCCGCUUGUCACUAGUAACUAGUGCUGGCCUGGCCCAUCUGCCUCCCGGUGAUGGGAAGGCAGAGAGAGGCCUUUGGGCACUGAGCAUCCCAACCAGCUGCCUGGGAGGCGGAGACACACACGCAGAAACACACACAUACAAAUGUGCACGCACACGCGGACACCUGCAAGCUGCGCCUCUGCACACACGCCUCUCCAGUCAAAUGGGCCCGAGGGCCCGCAAGCCGAGUAAGGAGGUUUGGAUUCGGAUUGCGGAAGGUGCGGGGGAAGAGGGUCUCUCUGCAUUACUGCCUUAGAGCCAGGACCAUAAGCCCAGACCUCUGACUCGGAUCCUCGGCUCUUCUACAAGGAAGAUCCAAACGAGCGCAGUGCGGGCCCCCGGCCACCGUCCUAGCGCUCGGGAGCGGAAACCAUCCAAUCAAGCCGGAAAAGGGGUCCAAGUCGGUAACACAAACAAGCGGUUUAGAAGCCAGCAAGGCUCGACAAGAGGCCCCCUGGAAGAGGCGGAGCUCGUCUCAGCACCUGCCUGGAACCAGCAGUUUCCACCGACCCCGGAGGACCCCCUCUGGACAAGGGCUCCUGGCCCCGCCAGGAGCUUUGGGCGAGAACAUCCCUGUCCCGGGAGCCAGACCGCGGCUGGCGAGGCGACCUGGCUUCCAGGGGUUCCUUGGAAGGGACUCUCCUGCGGAAGAAAACGAACCAUGACGGAGUCUGGCUCGGAGCCGGGCCGACGCUCUGCUGUCCAGAGCCCUGAUCACGAGCCGACGCUUCAGGGAGGGGUCCCGGGCGGGGGACAGUUCUCGGGAAGUCAGGAGCAAGGGGGUCGCCCUCCUCCGCAGGGCCCCUCUGCCCCGUUCCAAUCGGCCCUGACUCAUCGCCUUAGUAGGUGUUGGGUCAGAGUCAGCAAGGGGUCUGCCUGAGGUCAUUGACUGGCUUUGUUUACGCGGCUAAUUUUAUCGCUGCUUGGACGGCUAAUGGUAUUAUUUAUACUUUAACGAUGAUAAAUGGCCCGUUAGAGCGAGGCUGGGGCAAGCGAGAGACCAAAGCAACGAAUCCAAAACUGCCUUGCACAGGAAAUAUGCACACACGGGUGAGCGCCCCCAUCUUUCCAGAAUCCCGUGCUGGAGGAGGAGAGGUGGGGCUUCUCACCCAGUCUGUCUCAGAUUCUAGCCUCAGGGCAGACGCAGGCCCAAGAGCCUGCCCGUGUGCCCAUCCAAGGCCCCAUCUCCACGGAGGGCGCGGGAAGCUGCUGGAGGAUGAAGGUCCAGGGUGACAACCGCAAAGCCGGUUGUUCAGUGGCGGUUCAGAGCCAUCGGUCCCUGUUUAAGACCUUGAGGGAGGCUUGGGUUCCUCGUCUGUGUGGUAGGACAGCGCUUGUCCAGGUGUCACGUGCGCAUAGUCGCCUGCGGUAUUGGGACGAUACAGACUGUUUCCAAAGGUCUGGGGUGAGGCCGAGGACACUGGUCCAUGGGCCGCAAGUCCCCGGAGGACACUGGGGGACCAAGAUGGGACUCAAUACCUCGCUGUGUACUGGCUUC